UAAACAGCGCUGUCUCUUUAAAACCAACGAGAGCAUGUCUUUAUUUGGCAGGAAGUUAGCCGCGGCUAACAGGAAGGCGGAUAAUGAAGACGCUCUGAGGUGCAGGAAUUGGCAAGACGCUGAGUAACAAGCAGUAAGCCACCUGUGUAUGAAGACAAGUCAGAGGCAGCUAUGUCUUCGGCGGUGGAUCUCAAGACCAAGGAGGAGAAGGAUGCAGAGUUGGACAGACUGAUCGAAGCUCUGAGGAAGAAGAACGAAGCUCGAGUCAAGAGGUACCAGGAAAUCGAGGAAGACAAAAAGAAAGCGGAGCAGGAGGGCAUUGCCGUGACAACACCUCGGAAACCCCGUCCCCACGAGCCGGAGGCCGACAGGAGGAAGACGGAGAAGGAAAACUUCACAGUCACAGUCGACCUAUCUAAACCAACAGCGGAGAAAAGAGUUGUGAAUGACUGGAAAUCUGGAACGCCUCGCGGCCGGAAGUUGUCAGAGGAAAGUGACAGCCCGAGAGGGCAGAGCGACGGCCCGAGGGGGCAGAGCGACGGCCCGAGGGGGCAGAGCGACGGCCCGAGGGGGCAGAACGACGGCCCGAGGGGGCAGAACGACGGCCCGAGGCGGCAACAAGCAGGCCCGAGGGGGCAACAAGCCGGUCCGAGGGGGCACAACGACGGCCAGAGGUGGCAACACGAUGGCCCGAGGGAGCAGAAAGACGGCCAGAGGUGGCAACACGACGGCCCAAGGGGGCAGAAUGAAGGCCCAAGGGGGCACAAUGACAGCCCGAGGGGACAGAACGACGGCCCGAGGGGACAGAACGACAGCCAAAGCCCCCCCAGACGGUCCGGGUCGGGACGAGUAGGUCGGGGAGGACAGAGAGGAGGCCGUCAAGAGAGAAGAGAAUGGGAACCGAGAACACCCAGAGGCGGAGAACCUGGGGAGUUGGGAGGACAAGGACGCAGAGGAGGAGGAAGGAGAGGAAGAGGAGGAGAAGGGGGAGGAAGAGGAGGAGAAGGGGAAGGAAGAGGAGGAGGAGGAGAAGGAGGAGUGACACCAGGGGGCACGGAUAGAAAAUCAAAGGAAUGGGAGGAGAAGAGACGACAGAACAUUGAGAAGAUGAAUGAAGAAAUGGAGAAAAUAGCAGAGUAUGAGAGAGGACAGCGGGUGGAUGGUGACAAGCCAAUCCGCAACUUCCUGGAUGACCCGAGACGUUCAGGUCCGGUGCCUGACAUAGACCGCAAGGAGGGCAGCAGGAGACACGUACGGAACUGGGGGGGGCUGGACUUUGACAAUGUUAGGACAGGAUCUGAACUGGAGAAAGAGUGGACUAGUCGAAGGCCUGGUCCAAAAGGCUCUGUGGACAUGACCAUGUCCAUGACCGGCCGGGAGAGAGCAGAGUACUUGCGCUGGAAGAAGGAGCGUGAGCAGAUCGACGAGGAGAGACUAGCGCGCCAUCGCAACGCCACAGGCCAGUGGAGACGGGAGUGGGACGCACAGAAGACCGAGAACAUGUUCAAAGAGGACCCAUGUGUGGCUGCAGAGGGCAUCACGUCUGAGCAGGGCAGCAGGAGAGAUGACAGUAAGCGGCCGCCCAAGGCGACGACAUUUGGCGACUUCCUGUCCGAGGGCAGGACCCAGGGGCCCCGAGGGGACCGGAGCAGAGGGAGGGGCAGAGGACCAAAACAGAGUUACAGCAUGCAUGACAACCGCUGGGAAGGAGAGAGAGAAGAGGAGAAGGAAAAGGAGGACAAGACAAAGCGUGAGGAGGAGACGAAGAAGAAGGAGCGCGAGGAAGAAAAGCCCAAACGUUCCACAGCACAGAAGGUGGAGGAGAAUAAUGGAGAUGGAGAAGAGGAUGAUGAUGACUGGGAGGAUGCCAGUGAUGUAGAAGAAGAUGGGGAGGAAGGGAGCGACUCAGAGCACGACUCCAGGGGCGAUGAGAAGAAAGACGCCGGAAAAGAGAAAGCGGCCAAGAGCAAAGACAACUCCCCUAUGUCUCCCUCGCCUCGUUCUCGACGGACGUCGACAGGAAGCCCCAAAGAGCAGAGGACACCCAGGCCCAAGGUAUACAUCCCCCCUCCGGCAGCAGCCCAGGAGUCUCCAGAGGGCGGCAAACCCCUCAGCCCCUUCUCCCCGCUGGACGGCCACCAGCCCGUGUCAGACUGGGGGGAUGAGAUGGAGAAGUAUUCGGCCCGGAGCAGCAUGGGAGGUGAGAGCCCCCUGAAACCCCCCAGCGCUGAGGCCAGCCCCCCCCAGAAGAAGGACCAGGACCAGGACCACGGGGCCGAGGCAGAGAGCCCAGCUGCCAGCUCCAGCGAGCCCACUGCGCCACAGAAAGAGGAGGGUACAGACGCUUCCUCUCCUCCAGAAAAUGCCCAGCAGACUCUGACAGAGUCCAUCCCCACACCCUCCCCCCCUGCAACACCACCUGAGGCCCCCCACUCUGAUUGUUCAGUCUCAGCCCCCCCAGAGAUCAAUGAGGCUGCCGUGACACCGGAUCAGGAUGCUCCCGCUCCUCUGUCACAAGACACACCAGGCACCUCUCCCUCUCCUCCUGCCCUGGAGACUGACCAGAGCUCCUCUGAUCCAGAAGAAGGGAAGGAUGACGACACAACACCCGCUGAGGCCGAUGCUGCUCUGCCAGCAGAAACAGUGGAGUCCUCUGAGCAGGUUUCCUCAGCUCUUCAGGACCACUCCUGUUUGAAACUCGUCCUGGCUGUCUCCUUCCUCCUCCUGUGAUGGACUGAAAGUACUAACUCCACCUCCUUUAAUGUGUGUGUUUACUGCCCCUAUUCCUCCUCCCAAUUUCAUCUUCCUCGACAUGUGAAAACCUUCUCCCCUUUGUUCCCAUCCUUUGUCAGGGUUCCUACGCUGUAUGGAAAAGUAUAGAAUAUUUGUUUUUCCAGACUGAAGUCUAAACAGACGUAAAUCCAAAGAAUACAGAUGCUCCGUCUCAAACUCUCUAGUCUAGUCAAUCAUUUUCCCAGUGAUAAACGCCAUAGCGACACACUCUCUGUACCUGCCACUACUACAGUCUCUACAGAGCCGUAGUUCAGAUAUGACUAUGACAGGCGGAAAGAUAAGUGGAUCCUAUCAACCAGGCGUUAUUUAGAUUAUCCUGGUGAUAACUAGUUACUUUGUACUGUUGUUUCCCCUGUUGAUGAUAAAAAUAUACAUUUAACAAAAUUACUGAGUUUGAAUAUCAAUUUUUAAAUCUGAGAAUCAGUCCGAGAACAGGUGACGUCAGAAUUGGAAUUAUCAAUAUUUCAGUAUCAAUCUGCACAUGAACAUCAAAAUCAACUUUCUGGAGAAACUGUGACUUUCUGUGUCUGAAGUGCAAAUAAUAGCUACACAGUCAGAAUGUAAUAUGGUAACAGUUGGAUUUUAAAAUUAUUUAUUUACAUAUUCACUUGUAUGAUAAUAUUAUAUAAAAUAACGUCAUAAUCAUUUAUAUAAUAUUUUUGUCAAAUGUCAAAUAUGGUCUGAAAAAUCCACAGAGAAGUCUGGAUAAAGUCUGGAAUUUUUGAAAUGGAAAACGUGUAGGAACCCUGACACAUGACUGUGAUGAAAAUGCUUGAAUGUGCUGCAUGAAAUCCUGCCUGUAUUACGAACCCUUGGUCUGCAGCCUCUCAUUCUCUCUCUUCCACUUUUUAAAAAAUCAUAUAUUGUCUUGGACCAGAAAACGAUAUCACGUCGAUAAUAAUCGACAUUGUUAAUACACAUUUGGUCGUGAAGUGGCUGUCCUCUCUGCUUCCUGGUCAGCUUCCAAUGUGCCGGUCUAUUUGCUUCCUGUCAGAACUUGACACUAUCAGGUUUCUCUGUGUGGCUUCACUGGGGAUGUUAAUGACUAAAUGUGUGUCUCAUUUUUUCCCCCUGCUGUAUAUGUUUGAACAUGAUUGUAUUUGAUUUCCCCUGUUGAAAUACUUUAAUUCAGAUCUAAUCCAUAAAAAAAAGGACUCUUCUUUAGUGGCGCAUGAUAUUAUUACCACUUGGUGAGUACUUGGAUCCAAACGACCUCAUGGUACCAUAAGUCAUUAGUGUGCACAUCUCAUCUCGCCCUGGUUAGACUCCUUGUCAGACCCUGCUCAUCGAAAAAGACAUCACCACAUCAUCAUCUGUCUGGUUUGUUCUGCACGCUGUGGUUUAGAAGUGAACUAAGUGGCUCAACCACAGACUAGAGGAAGUCGUGUAAUAAGCUGCUUUCCUCACAACCACUUAGCCCAGUGGCUGUGGUAUCAUCGUUUUGACGAGAAGAAAAGUUUUAGUCAGUUUUAGUUUUGCACCUAAAACUGAGGAGUUUGGUAAAAUGCUGCUCGCCACGUCUUAGUUUUAAAACUCUGGUCUAGAGCCUGGAUGGAAAUCAUUUUACUUUUAACAUGAAAAUGUGUUUAACCCAUCACAGAGAGGGCCAGGUGACUAGCCGGAGCAGAGGGCGUUUUUGAGGCAGUGGGGCUAGAGCUACGACGGAGUUCAGACACGGGGUUUGUUCUCAUAGAUCUCGUAGAAGAUGGAAAUGGCCAAAAUAUGGGCCCUUAAAAGGUCAAAAGGUCAACAUGAAUAAUCAGCCGUAGUCGAAGUAGAAAAUAGAAGCGGUGCUUCAUUUAAGGAGCUGAAACAAGACAAAAGAUUUUGACUCUUUCUGACAUGUUUUAUUAAAUCUAAUAAGCAGAUUAAGUGAUAAUGUCAAACAUUUGCUGCUGGUUUUAGUUGCCUUUGCCCGAACAGAUUGGGUCCAGCUGAGUCUGCAUAUCGGCCUGUUUACUCACACUCAGUAACAAAGACUUGUCAUUUUUCGUGAUUAGUAUAACAUGGUGAAGCCAGAUGAGUGUGACCAUUGUAAUUGUGAGGAUGCUUUUGAUCUCUGGUGCACAAAGCGACACUGUUCAGCAUUUACACUUGUCCGGUGACCCUCAUUUUUGAUGAACGGCCGAAGUCGGAUGAACUCAUUUGGCCAUUUUGUGCAAUUGUGUGCAUGUGCAUGCGCACACACGCCUGCCGAUGUAAUUGUGUGACUGUGUUCCAGGGUGGAGAUCAGGAAACCAGGGAAAUUAGAGGCACCAUUAAGUAUUUAAAAGGCUUUUCAGAGGAAAUGAGCUGCGGCCUGGUGAGCAGAUGACGGAGCAGAUAGAACAGAUGAACCAUUUGAAGUCUGAUUCAAUUAAGUCACGUGAUGUUUCUUAGGCGCCACAGCGGACUGUCUUGACUGUGGAUGGAGACGAAUGACGUGAGCCACUCUAGUACCAGCAAACACCCCAAUAAAAACACACUAAACAUGCUCCAGUGAGCUGGAGUCGGUGCGCAUUCAUAACGCACUAGAGAAUCUUUGCAGAUAUUCUUCUUUCCAAUCUCAAAAUUCACACACUACUACAUUUGAAAAUAGUGGCACGUCACACUGCAGAAUGUUAUGGAGGUUAUCGCUCAGCAGAUCUGUACCGACCAAGGUUCCACACCAGAAUUCUCAUCCGAUUCUCCAGGGGCUGAAUCCGAGUUGGGCCUGAACUAUCUGUGUACUGAGCCCAGCUGAAGUCAUCUUAUCGUUUCCCAGAAAAUGUCAAACAUUUCCCUUAAGACGAACAAUGUUGACACAUAACACUCAAGUUUCCAUGUGAAGGAUAAAUCUCAUUUUGUCUGAACAACUGGUCAAAUCCCCAAAUUUCAGGAUUUGCCGUGACCUAAAACAGAAAAGUUACAAAAAGUCAUAUUUCAAGAACAAAUAUUUUUCUAUGUCAUGAACAAACAAUGAAUCUAUCAUAAAACCCGUCAUCAGUUGAUUGAUUAUGCAAUAAUUAUUUAUGAACCAUAUUCUUUUAUAUUCACUAUUUUCCCCCAAAUCCACAUGUGCUUGAACCAGUGGAGUGACAGACAUCAUGUUGCUGUUAAAUUUUCAGUUUUCUCGUGAAGCAACACUGUGGCUGUGCCUCUUAUUCACGACAUGAUGGUGAUGGAUGUUCUACUGAGCUGAGUGAAAUGUUUUCAUCAUUUCUCCCUCGUCCCAAAAUGUGGGUUCAGCGCCAACGUGUUAUAUAUAUUGAGGAUGUGAUGUAUGUGAUGUGAUCAAAGUGCCGAUUUGUGACUUAAAGAUCGGGACGUGCUAAUGCGUUUUUUUUUUGCGGUGCAUGAUUCAGUAUUGAUUAUCCGCCGCUCGGCAGGUGAUUGUUUGUCCCGUUCGGCUGCAGAAUAGCUGAAUGGGCAGAGUGAUGGCGAUAAUGGAUGAGGAGUCACUGAAAACAUUCUUCCCCCGGGGCUGGUAGAUCUGAAAAUGUGCACAUUUAAGACUGAAGCUGCCAGGAACAGACGCUCUCACUUCUUAGGGGGGAUGGAGAGAUGAGAGGACCCGGAGAGGGCUGAAGGGCGUCACACUGCUCGUCACUGGAUUGGCCAUCACACAUCUAAAUCCCAAAAAGGAAAAAACGUGAAACCAGCAGGAAAGCGGAUGGGAUUGUGCAUUGCCACCAUGGACUGGCUUUUUUUUUUUUUUUUUUUUUACAGUGCUCUGUCUCUGAGCUGUUUUUAAAAAAAGAAAAAAAUCUUUUGGAUCGAUGAAUCUGAUCACCUCUGGGUGGUCGCCAUGUUUUGUAUUAUAAAAUAUCAGGCUUCAAAUUUGCCGGCAGUCACUGGUUUUCAAUAACUGACAUUUUUAUGUUCUCACAGUGGAGUCGCAGGGUUUUCUGAGCUGAGAAAGAGGUCCACACCAGAGAGGUUAUACUACAGAUGAUCGUUUAAGACCCUUCCUGAGGAAAAACUCCCUCGUACGUCGCCCUCAGAGCCUCACUCAAGCAACCAGCUCACUUUCCCCUCUUUGAGAUUGUAACUGUUGUUAGUGUGAGCUACCUUUGGCAAUGAAUCUGAAUAAUGAUCAGUAUGCUCAUGUGGAAAAUUGACCUUCCCCCACUGAACACUGUCAGUAUUUUUCUCAGCCAGUUUAAAUUUUUGUACACAGUAUUGUUUAAACUAAUGGGAGUAGUUGCAGUCGCUCGGAGCUUUUGUCUUUCAACUCCACGGCCUCCGACUCUUCUCUCGCGGGGAUCUCGGCUCCAUUAGCUCCAUUAGUUUGUAAUGCAGCAGUGGGACUCCACCCUCCGCUCCGCACUGCUCUCUGGGUUUUUUAUUUUGUCGCUUUUAAUUACUCUGUUAGGUUUUACAUGGAAUAUACUUGUUUUCCGCAUUAGCCCCCCCCCCCCCCGACAUUUUCUUUUUAUUUAGCCCAGAAAAAUAUGUUGAUGCGCUGUUUUUACAUGAGCUUCACUGCAGGUUGUUCACAAUGCCUCAUUCUGUGUGUGUGUGUGUGUGUGUGUGUGUGUGUGUGUGUGUGUGUGUGUGUGUGUGUGUGUGUGUGUGUGUGUGUGUGUGUGUGUGUGUGUGUGUGUGUGUGUGUGUGUGUGUGUGUGUGUGUGUGUGUGUGUGUGUGUGUGUGUGUGUGUGGUUCAGAGCGGGCGACUUACUGUUAGAGGGUUAAACAUGAAUGAUUUUGUCAUCUUUGAUUGAGGCUGUCACCUGUAUGAACUCGUACGAUCAUGUUUCUUGCUUGAGGGCACUUUUGACAGAUCAUUGUGACGUCUUCACACCAUGAGCUCGUCUCAAAAUACCAAUCAUGUACUCUGAGCCAUCGGCCCGUUUGUUUUUUGAACAGUGUAACUCUGUGUCAUCGUCAGAAAAUGCGAGUCUCAUGGGCUGUGAUGCAUCGGAGGCCAGUUUCUUUAGAGAACUCCGUCAAGUCACAACUCAAAUAGACAGUUUGUGUUUAAAAAAUCAGGGGUUUCGUCCAAAAAUGUUUUAACAAUGUUGAAAAUAAAACCUACUCAACAAUAUAUUAGUUAGCUAUUGAUUUUCACAUAAAAAAAGCCAUAAUAAAUAUUGUCUGUUUGGAAAUUGCAGCUUUUGAAUGACGUGCAUUCAAUUGUGUAAAGUCUGUUGACAUUAUUACUAUUAGAGUCGAGGUUGUUUCCUCAAUAGACAGUUUAUUUUGGGAUGGAAUCCUUCGCUCAUACCUCGACUGUCCCGGGGGGGGGGGUGUGUGUGUGUGUGUGUGUGAGAAUCAUUUCAGCUGCAGCGGCUCGCCUGUGGCUUUUCAGGACACUGGGAUAGACAGGAAACUUUAAUGAUUUUGUGUUCUGUAUAGGCGGAAACGUGAAGGUGACGCAUCUGGGAGUGAAAGGAAACUGCAAUAUGUACAGUUUUUAAAUGGAGAUGAACAUUCCACAGUUGGGUGUUUGUGCAAAAUGUAGCCUGUGGGCUACGGACAAACUUGGUAGCUUUUUUUGUUUGUGUGCAUAUGGUUCUUUUGUUGUUUCUGAUCUGCGAUGGCCGAUUGUAUUUAAAACAGUAGACGUUUCAUUGCACACCCAUCUCUGCCGUGUCUUCCUGUUUGAUACAUUAAAUCACUCUGGAACGGGAAACGCUCUGUUCGCAAAAGAAUGAUCAGGUCGAGCAUGAAUCUGAAGUCAUAGCUUUUUAAUGUUGUCUAAAGCCACUGAUGAAACGAUUGUCCCCCAUCAGCUCACACGUCGGAGACACAGAGCCCAGAUGUUGGAACGGCUUUCCAAAAUGAAGUGUACCCCUAUGAAAUGUAAAGUACAUUAUUGCUUUAUCAGGUGUUGUUUUUUCUUUCUCUCUCUUUCUCUCUCCCUCUCAUUUAGCCAAUAAAUAUUUUCUUUCGCUGA